rnacentral:rRNA from 1 species
GUGUCAGCAGCCGCGGUAAUACGAAAGGUGCAAGCGUUACUCGGAAUCACUGGGCGUAAAGCGCACGUAGGCGGACUUACAGGUCAAUUGUGAAAUACCUGAGCUCAACUCAGGAACUGCAGUUGAAACCGUUUGUCUUGAAUACCUGAGAGGGUGGGGGAAUACCUGGUGGAGAAGUGAAAUUCGUAGAGAUCAGGUGGAACACCGGAGGCGAAGGCGCCUGCCUGGCAGUGUAUUGACGCUGAGGUGCGAAAGUGCGGGGAGCAAACAGGAUUAGAUACCCGAGUAGUCC